rnacentral:rRNA from 1 species
GUCCACGCUGUAAACGAUGUUCACUAGUUGCUGGGUUCCUUGGUGAAAUCAGUGACGAAGCUAACGCAUUAAGUGAACCGCCUGGGGACUACGGCCGCAAGGUUAAAACUCAAAGGAAUUGACGGGGACCCGCACAAGCGGUGGAGCAUGUGGAUUAAUUCGAGGCAACGCGAAGAACCUUACCUAGCCUUGACAUCCCGGGAAGUGAAACGAAAGUAGAUCGUGCCCUUCGGGGAACCCGGUGACAGGUGCUGCAUGGCU